rnacentral:sRNA from 2 species
ACAGUGUUGCAGGAGAAUACUGGUAGUACUGCUGAUAGAGAUUGUCUGCCAACUCAAGAUUUCCAAUUAUAGCGACAAAAUGAUGCACCGUGAUAGUCCAAGUCCUCAAGCUCCAGAGUUUCACUUGGCUUAAUGGAGCGACAAGUGGCCGAAGCUAACGGCUAGCUGCAGGCUGCUUCUCCAGGCGAUGGACUGGAGAUACCCCAUAUUGACA